GCAGCAAGUUAUGUGUGCCUGCGUGCCCGUGUUCUCCCGUGGCAUUUGGCAGCGGGAGCUGCUCCUGUCGGCUGACGUUGGCCUCGAAUAGCACUCAGCUCCCACCCAAAACAGUGUCUGCUUGGAGGGCAGCUCAUGUCCUCAGCUGAGAAAAACCGAGCCAGCACACACGCGGCAGAGCUCUCACGCACCUAUCGCACAAUAAAACAUAUUUGCAAGACAGUUAUUUUAAUAGCAAUAUGCCCUAUAUGGAGACACAUUAUGAUGAGCUCAAUCUCGGCGCUGCUGUGGCAAGCAGAGAGCACAGCCAUAAGCAGAGCGGGUCAGUACCUCUCCCCGGGCUGCGUGAUGACCCAGAGUGUUUUACUGGAGGUACACGCUUCGGUGUGAGGGCCUGUCCUCAGCGGGCUGCAGCCAGAGCUCCCCUCUUCUGCACUCAGUCCCCCUCAGCACGCACUUUCUCUUGAGUUUCUGUUUGUCUUUGUGCCAUUUUUCCUAUUUUAAAACAGUGCAUGAAAUCAAGUACAAAAAUUAAUGGGCGUGCAAUGAAGACUCCUAUGCAAAGUUAAAUUAAAAAAACAAAAACAUUGAAAAUUGAGUAUUUAGCCUCACUUCUGCCACGGGGUGAAGCGCCCAACACCACCAGUGUCAUAGUCGUAUAUUCCCUCUCAAAUAAUGCAACAGAGAAUGCAGUUUCUUCCACAUGUGGGGAAGAAUCUUCAUCCCCGCGUGCUUCAGCUUACAACGUUUAAAGCAGGCCCCAAAUGCACGUUCAAAAUGUAUCCUCACUGAACCAAAGCCUUCUUCAAAAACGUCUUUGUGUAAAAGGCGGCAGUGUUACGGAGUGCACUGUUGUGCACAUAAAACUCCGUGCCUUUUCUCAGCACUGCUUUCCUGGCGUGUUCAAUAGUCAUACAGUGGCUUACGAAGAAAUCAGUCGUAUGGCCAAUUCGCAUCUGCUGGAAUUAUUAAAUAAUUAAAAAUAAUAAAGCAUUCAGCCUAAAAAAUGACAAUUUAAAAUCAGUAAUAUUGAUGUGGCCGAGUUUCAUCCAUCCUGAAAGGGAAACAGCUUUGACAAGACCAUAUUUUUAAAUAAAAUGAGUGUGGUAUUAUUCUAUCAGGUCUCUUUAAUUCCAGCAUCAUAAAAAUGUGGUAUAUCUUUAUUGAUAGACUUUAGCUGGUGAAUUCUCUUCUCCGCAGCAUAUAUAUGUUAAUGAUUUUCUCAGCACUGACAUACAAUACGUUUAACCAGAUGAUUUUUCCCUUCAUUCGGAGUUACCUCUCCGAGCAGUAAUUUAGUGGGCAGUUCUCAAAUGACAUCCCUGAGAAAUACACACACUGCAUUUUGUUAAGAGCGUGUUUUAAUGAUAUCUUGCUUGACCAUGUUUCUUUUUUGUAGAAUUGUAAAUAAUUCCUACUCUUCUCCUCAUCCGCAGCUGAAGGGAUACUAAGACUGCAGGAUGCCACCAAGCCCAGAGCGUUUGUGAUCACAGGUGACUUUGCAACAGGUUUUUAGUGACAAAAGAAAGCAGAAAAUCCUUUCCUUUGCGACAAACCACAAAAGAGACCUGAAAUUCUGAAUGUAUAUAUACACAGAUAUGUAUUCUUAAGAUGUCAUAGGAGAGAGCAGGAGGUACCUGGAGCCAGAGCAUCCCCCACUGCCAGGAGCCGCAGGGGCACAGAAGUGCAGUGCGUGAACAGUCACAGCUGAUCUCAGCGCAUUGCAAAUGUCACUCUAGUCAGGCAGUGGAUGUGCUCUCUUUAAUGAUAUUACUGAACAGAUUACAUAAAUGAGUGAGAAUUUAUGUACAGAAUUUGCAUGUGUUUGCAACUGAUCUGAAACUUAUAAAUACAUUUCUGUAUUUAUACGCACAAGUAAAUUAAUAUUGAUUUCCAACCACCAAAAUGGCAUUCAAGUGCAUGUUUCCAGGUGCAAAGUAUUUAGCCAGAGAGCAAAGCAAGUGAAUUUGCAAUGAGAACAGUAAAACUGUGGAUGCAGCUCUGGAAAGAAUGAUUUGUAUUGUUUGGCAGCAGCGCUGGGAGGCUGCAGACAUUGCUGGUCUCUCCUGUGCAGGGCACUGCACAGUCACGCUGCAGAGGGCCUUGUCCCAGCAGCCACCAAUGAAACAAGUGCCUCGGCACAGUGGCACUGGUCUGGUUCCCCAGUGGGUGCUCGUUCCCUGCCCCAAAGAGCUUUAUUGUGCUGGGUGCACAGCUCAACUAAAUGGGUAGGCCAUUAAAGAUUUACAAGCCAUUGACACUAGCUGGCUCAGGGACGUUGCAGCUACUGCAAGUGCAGUGCCCACUCCUGCGCUGCUUCGUUUUCAGCCCCUGCACCUCAUUACUUCCCUGAAUGGCUGUCAUCUGCACACACUGAGCACCCUGCUCCUUCAUAUCCUACCCCCAGCCCCACCAUAGCCACAAAGGACCAUCUCCCUGGCUUCCCACCUUCCUGGCCUGCAUCCAUUCAUCCCCUUACCUGACCCAGCGCUGGUGCAGAGCUGAGGCUGCAGGCACCCCCCCACGCUGCCAUCUCACUGCGCCCCCGGCCCAGGUGUGCACAUUUGAGGCCUGGCGAGGGUGGGGAACAGAGGAGCUGAUGGGGCUGUGUGGCUGGAGACCAAACCUCUCUCCUCCGCACUGGGGAAGGCAGCGCUUUACCAAGGCUUUGAUUUUUAACCAAGGUUUUACUAUCACCUCUCUAUGGAUUUACUUCCCUCUCCCCUCCACCCCCAACUCCUCCCGCUGUUUGGUGCAUUUUUCAUGGGUAUGCUUUGUUGUUUUUGGGUUGUUUUGUUGCUAUUGUUGCUUGCAGCCACUGGAGAGUUCCCCUUCCUCUGGUUAAUGGCCCAUUACCCAGCUCUCGCCAUGCAGGGGUAGGGCCUGGGAAUUGCUGAGUUCUGGAAAAUCCUCCCGAGCAGGGAGAGCUUUGCCAACAACAAAAUCCUCUCUUUUCAGAGAGGACUCUGCAAAACGGGGUGGUGAGGGGGAACAGUCCCCUGCAGGAGGGAUGGGAGCAGAGCCCACUGGACCGUGGGGUGAUCGUGGCUGUGCCAUUGCUGCCUCCUGAAAACAGGUGCUGGCUGUGGGGGAGAGGGGGGAGAGGAGAGAGCUGGAUUGUUAAAGGAUUCAAUGAGCUGUGCCCAAUGUAUUCGAAAGGUGCUUAAGACAGGCAAAGCUCCUCACCAAACACGGGCGGCCAGGAAGCAGCACAGUGCACAUCUAAGCGGAGGGCAUGCACCAAGCCCACCGGUGUGGGGACUGCCCCACUGCCUCACUCACAUCGCCCCACGGAAACACGCUGUGCCACACACCAGCCAUGGAGAUACUGCUCCCACCCUCAAUCAGAAUGGUUUGAUGGGCCUGCCCUUGUGUCAUGUAAGGCUGAAAGUAUCUAAAGGGGGCUGUAAGAAAGAAGAGGACAGAUUCUUCAGCAGAGUCUGUUGUGAUGGGACAAGGGGAAAUGGUUUCAGUCUAAAAGAGGGGAGAUUUAGACUGGGCAUAAGGAAGAAGAUGGUGAGGCAAUGGCUCAGGUUGCCCGGAGAGGUGGUCGGUGCCACAUCCCUGGAGACAUCCAAGGUCGGGCUGGAUGAGGCUCUGAACACCUGAUGGAGCUGUAGGUGGCUCUGUUCAUUGCAAGGGAGUCGGACCAGAUUGUCUUUAAAAGUCCCUUCCAACUCAAACAACUCUAUGAUUCACAGUGUGAUGCCUGCCCUGGUCCUGCUUGUAGCUUGUAUCAGAUCAGCUUUAUACCCAGGGUGGUCUGGGACUCACAUGCAGGGUGGGAAGGAGCCUUCCCUGUCUGUCUUUUGGCUCAGAGAAAGACCUAAAAAAAGGUUCAGUGGAGAUUCUGGUGAAAAGGAUGUCUGCAGGCCCACCCGGACCGCGCUCCAGUCACUCCCAAGCAGUGAAUUCACCUAGCUGAAACUCUGGAGAAAGUGAAAAAAAUAAAUAUAGAGAGUCAGAAACUACCCUACCGACCGCUCGCGCUGUUUGACAUUAAAAAGUGCUGACAGCAGAGAGGGAGGAGAGGGAUGGAAGAAGGGCCACUUUCAUCUCAUACAGUCUCCUGCCAGCCCCAGCCACCACGUCUCCCUCUCACCCCCCUCCUGGCCCCUUGCUUUCCAAGGCAUUUUAUUAAAUAGGGUCACAGCCUGCAUUAGAGUCCCUCCCACAGCCCCGGCCAAAGGAAAACACUCUCCUGUCCCACUGACCCCCACCCGCCCAGAUCUCCGGCUCCAUGGCCGCUUUCCCCUGUCAAGAAGUGCGAUCCCCAUCCCACGGCAACCUUGAAGUUGCACAGCAAAACGUCAGGGCAGAGGGCUUCGGGGAGGGGGAAGGUCUCCCUCGUUUCUCUUUCUCUUACAUUAAUUAUCUCAUUCAGUUGAAAGAAAAGUCCAAAAAUUGAGCGUUCUCCUGGCAAUUUAUGAUGCUGGAGUGGUAAUUUAUGGCUCAAUACCACUUUACUUUACUCAUUCUUUACACGCACAUGCAGGUACACACACGUAUACUUACACUUAAGGAGACACUAACCUGAAUUUAUCACGCUAAAGUACCGGCCUGCUACAAGUAAAAGGAUGAACAUAAUUCACGAGGUAGGACAGGGAGGUGUGCACGUGUGGGGGGAAACGUUUAGAAGAGUUAAUGUUUGAAAGUUGGUCUUUGAAGGCAGAGGCUCCUCUGGAUAGAAAAAGAAAACCUAACUAAUUAAAACUGAUGUAUCAGUUUCAGAAGAAGAAUGUGCUGGUAACGAAACUGCACGGGCAAAAACAACAGAUUGAAGGGUUAGCCAUGGCAGCUGAUACACGGUCUGGGGAGAAGGUCCUGAUUUCAGCAUCAAAUUGUGGGGCUUGUGAUUUAACUCCCUGAGGCAGCAGCCAAAGAUUCCUCUCAAAGCAUCUGGGCCCUUUUGGGACACACGACUGGAGGCAGAAGCAGAUGUGGGUCAUCGGUAAGACUUGAGUCAUGGCCAUGGCAUGCCAACAAUGUGACCCAGUGCAGCUCUGGUUAGAGGAGGAGGAAGGGAAUGCCAUGCCACGGAUGUGCUGCUGGUUGUUUCAGGGGUAACCAGGCACCUUGGAUGGCCAAAGGAGAGGGCAUUCCUGCCCCAAAUGCUGGCCAACAGGACAGGCCGCAACAGGGAAAGAGCAGAAGCCACUUGUCUGGACAAUUUAGUGGCCCCGCAUAGCAUGACUGAUGCACUGCCAUUGAGGCUUUUUUGGGCAUCACAAGUCAAGUGGAAAAGGGUUUCAAGUGCACCUGGCUUGACAGUGCCUGAAUACCUGAAUUGGUGGGUGCUUAUCAACAAAUCUUAGCUUUCUCAGAUCCUUGCUCUUGCUGAGGCCUUCCAUGUUGGCACGCUGAUAUUUUUCCAGGCUGUACCACCUCCAGGGAAAAUGGGAAAAGGAAAUCCAGCAGGAACAUACUGUCUUCAUGGCUGCCUUUUCCAGUGUAUGGGUACCUGGGGGUACCUAUGUGAGCUCUCCUAGGGCCUCUCCAAGCCAACCCUCUUCUCCAAACCUCUGUGAUCCUCUGAAGUCCAGGAGAGAGGUCCUUCCAUACACCACAUCCAAGAAGAUUAAGGCAAUAAAUUCUGAGCAAAUAAGUAAUCUGAGACAAGAAACAAGUGUGAAGCAUCACAACUGCUAUUUGCUUUUCUUUUGUGCUCCCGAACUUCCCCAGCUUCAUAAAGCAUCUGUGUCUUUCAGCCACAGGACUCUUUCCGGUGACUUGGACCUGACUUGGACCUGGGUCGCAUAGCAAGCAAAUGCCAUUAAAUCGAUGUCAGCUGAGUGCCAGGUGAGCGCCCUGCAGCCAGGCAAUUCUUCUGCUCUGCUCUGGGGGACCUGCAGUCGAUUUGAUGGGGCACUGACUUUAACCUCAUCCCAUUGUCUUUGUACAGGACCAAGUGAACAGGUUCCUCUGUAUCUCUUAUUCCUUUUGCCCUUACAAACCCAAAGUACUGAAAACCACUAGGAUGGGAGGUUAAGUAUGAGGAUGGAGGAAAUCGGCAAUAAAUGACCUUUUGUUUAAAAAAUAUAAAUAAACAGCAGUAAGAAUCAUUGUUAGAAUGAUUUGAGAAACGCUCAUUACCCAGAAUGUGCCUUUCUGAAAACUGCUCAAGAAGGGAAUGCCCCUUUAAAGUGAUGUAGCUCUGAACCGGGCAAAAGUACACAAGGCUGUGUGUCCACCUACCCAGGAAAACAACAAAACCCCCAGCAGGUGAUCUGUAUGUAAACACAGCACACCCGCUCAGCCUGGUAGAGAAGGUGUUAUUUUUCUUACUGCUUUCUCUGUAGAUAUUGGCUUGUUCACAAAUCUUACAGCAACCCGCAGCUGUGGCAUUAAACAGGACGAAGGAGAGAGCGCGAAAUCCGGCUGCGUAAAUCAGGGACGCCGCCAGCGUCUGUGCUAACAGUUGAAGCUGGAAUCCUGGGGGGCCGGAGGGAAAGCUUAUAGAGGACGCACGUGCAGCGCAGUGACGGGAGUGAAGAGCCCUCAACAUUAACCAAAACUGGGGAAAAAACAUACUACAUGCGAGAUGGGAAGGGAUCUGUUUGCUUAGUUUAUUAACAAGGUCCAGGGGCGACUUGCUUCUGCACAUGCACUUCUUCCUAGGGAAGAAAUAUCAGGUACCGAAGAACUCUCUAAUCUCCCAGAGAAAGCCGUAACAAGAACUGACGGAUAAAUGCCGAAGCCAGACAAGUCCCAAUUAAAAAAUAAAGAAGGGAACUAUUUUUAUUUGCUUUAUUUUGUACAAGGAAGUCGGGGCAAUGAAGCAUUUGAGCCGGCUGUUACAGGAAGUGCUGGAGUCUCCCUGUCUCAGCCUCUUUGGAUAAAGACUUGUGUUCCUUCUGGGAGCACAGCUUGACUCACACAACUUAUUGUACGCUGCUCAGGGGCAGCAGGGUGAAUGUCUGUGGCCCACAUUACGCAGACAGUCCAAUAAAAUCAUCCGAAAAUGUUCUGUUUAAACUGUGUAAAGACUUUUAGCCUCUGCCUGUUUUACACUGAGGGCUUAAUUAAAAAAAAAAAAAUCAAAAUAAAAAAAUAAUAAAAAAAUCAGGAAUAUGAGAAUAAAAAUCCCCUCUGACUGAACAAUUAUUAAGAAAAAACAAAAAAAAAAAGGGAAUGGGAGGGAAUGUGCAGCAGCCACAGUGCAUGUGGGGCGGCCACGAUGGCGGGUGGCAGGACGGCACGGUCAGGGCUAUCCCCAGCACCGUGGCCCUUCAGGGAAGGGGCUGCUCAGGCUCCAUGGAGAAU
ensembl:lncRNA